rnacentral:rRNA from 1 species
UGGGGAAUUUUGGACAAUGGGCGAAAGCCUGAUCCAGCAAUGCCGCGUGUGUGAAGAAGGCCUUCGGGUUGUAAAGCACUUUUGUCCGGAAAGAAAUCCUUGGCUCUAAUACAGUCGGGGGAUGACGGUACCGGAAGAAUAAGCACCGGCUAACUACGUGCCAGCAGCCGCGGUAAUACGUAGGGUGCAAGCGUUAAUCGGAAUUACUGGGCGUAAAGCGUGCGCAGGCGGUUUGCUAAGACCGAUGUGAAAUCCCCGGGCUCAACCUGGGAACUGCAUUGGUGACUGGCAGGCUAGAGUAUGGCAGAGGGGGGUAGAAUUCCACGUAUAGCAGUGAAAUGCGUAGAGAUGUGGAGGAAUACCGAUGGCGAAGGCAGCCCCCUGGGCCAAUACUGACGCUCAUGCACGAAAGCGUGGGGAGCAAACAGGAUUAGAUACCCUGGUAGUCCACGCCCUAAACGAUGUCAACUAGUUGUUGGGGAUUCAUUUCCUUAGUAACGUAGCUAACGCGUGAAGUUGACCGCCUGGGGAGUACGGUCGCAAGAUUAAAACUCAAUGAAUUGACGGGGUCAUAGCUG